rnacentral:misc_RNA from 1 species
GAAGAAGAAGAAGAAGAAGGAUUACUAGAAGGUUCCAUUGGAGGGCGGGAUUGAUCAGGUGCGUGACGGGUCACGGAUUGUUGGUGGUGUUGUUCUAGGUAGUGAAGGGUAUGGGUGCGAGGGGCAUUGUUGGAGCGGAUAAAGAACCAAAGUCCCACGCCGGGUUGGGGGUGAGACCGCGACUGAUUCGCACCCAGUUUUCGGCCGUAAUUAGCGAUUCGCCACUAGGAUUGGAUCGAUCGCAACAGAAGAAGCUAGGCCUAAUCGAAUUGACAUGAAAAUCAUUUAAAAAAUCAAGGAAAGAAAAUUAAGGAUCUCAAGGGAAGGAUUGGAUAUGAACAUCGAAGAAUAGAGAUUUUCUUUGAAGGAAGAGGAAGCUGGUGCUCUGGCGGCGUGGUGUUUCGGCGACCUCACUGUCAGGCGGGAGGAAGAACGGUUUGCGUCACCUGUGGGUGAGUUUUAAUCUGGUGAUUUUUGAUGACCU